AGCCAGACAGAAAACAGAUACUAACUGGUGGCUAAGCUUGAUAAGCAACUUGGUUUUAUGAUGGGAAGCAUUUACUGACAAAUAAUUCAAAAUAGUGUGUAAAAUGUCGCAGCAGACUGCAAAGCUUUGUGGAAGGAGAUGAUUAAUCAGUGAAAAUCACUUCUGUUGGAUGACAGAAAUACUGAGACGAAAAUGUGGGAGAGAUGUCCCGAGCCCGAGCCGCCCGCUCAACCAGUGGUUAAUGAAACAGACUUACUUCAAUCACAUGUAAGAUUUCUGCUGAGGUCAAACAUGAAUUAAGUGCUCCCAGCUGAAGUGCAUAAAUUGCACCACUGCAGGACAAACAAAUCUGGCUGCCGUUCAUCUGUAGUGAGUGUAGCCUGACAGCCCACUGUGAGGCUGCAUAUGACAGGUAUCCAUGUUUAUUUACUCUGGAGGACCCUGUAGCUCUCUCUUAAGUUCAGGAGUUAAGGCCUGAGGUGAGGAGGAAGAGGAUGAGGCAGAUGACAAGGAGGUGGAGAAAGGCAUAAUAAGACGAAGAAAACAUACAUGUACAAGUGUUAAAUGUCAUGUAUAGUUUGAAAGAGCUAUUUGUGAUCUUUAAAUUAAAGGUAACUUCUAGCUGAGUCUGGAGACACAUACAUAAAAUGUGAUUAGGUUAAAUGGCGGUGUCUAUCUCACCACUGCAUUCAAGAUGCCAGGGCAACAUGGCGGCUUUCGCAAACCUGUACCCACUCCUAUUGUAUUUUCAUGCAUUAAUUCUAAGUUUAUGAGAAUGAAGAUUUAAUUAUACACUAAUCUGUGUAUAUUUGUCAA